rnacentral:lncRNA from 1 species
AGAGAGACCCAUGAUUAGCUGUAAAUGGGUUAUCCUGUCUGCAUACUUAACAUUAUUUUUCGUUCAAUGCGACAUGUGGAUUGAAGGCAUCAGCAUAUGCAGUCCUUUACAACUGAUAAUUUAUUUAGCGUUAAACACAAAUGAUUGGUUCUAUACAAAUAUUUUGCAAUGCAAAUACUAUUUAAUGCACCAUUUGACAGAAGGAAAAAGUGUUCAGCUAUCUUCAAUUUCACACACUCUGUCAUGAGAUUUAAGGCAACAUAUUUAUUGUUUUAACAUAUCAAUCGAACAUCGAUAUGUUUUCAGAGAUUGCAAUUAGGGAACUUGAAUAAACGUUGCGUAUGCUAUUAAAUGUAUUGUUUUCUAUCCAUUUGAAAAUAAUAAACUUGUUCCCCGAACUAUACAUACGAACACCACUCUCUAAGAAUUGAGAUAUACAGUAUCAUUGUAUCAGUGCGUCCGUCUGUGAUCGAGUCUGUCACUUGAAAGGUUAAUUUUAUUAUUCU